GUCCUGUGUAGCUGAGUUUGUAUAGCAUGGCUUUUGCAAUGCCAGAGGGUGUGGGUUCCAUUCCCACCAAGGUCU